rnacentral:tRNA from 1 species
AGGGGUAUAGCUCAGUAGUAGAACAUGUGCUUAACAUGUACAAAGGUCCUGGGUUCAAUCCCUGGUACCUCCA